ACAGCCGAUCCUCUUCGAAGUGAGAGCAGCACCGACGAAUCCGCUACACCUGUAUAUACUGUGUAUAGAUCGGGACCAAGCUGAAGCUCGGCAACGGAAAAAUCGGAUAGUCCUGAUCUGUUAACCGCACAGUCAAGCCGUGUUCGAUGUAUCAUCGGACCAAGAGAUAAACUUAGAAGUGUGUAUUUCAUUCGCGUCUGAGGAACAAUUUCGCGAACAAGCUAGUGCGUAUUUAUGCUUGUUCAAAAUUUGAAGAUCCCAUUGCGCAUCGCCAUCCUCGUGUUUACAAAGUCAAUCAACCUAUAAGACACCCAUCAUCACCGGCCCGCGACCUCACACGCCCCACAGCAUACAGCAGCCUGAUUCAUCGCGGAAAGGAAUCAACGGACUGUGUCGACUUUCAAUUACGUGUCUCGAAAUCUGAAAAACUCUCGGUCUUUACCCCUCGUAGUAUAGCGCGGCUCGCCCCACCGCAGAGAUAAUGAGCGAAAAAGAGAGCUCUUGAGAGCGGCAAAUUCGGAAGAAGAAGAAGAAGACGAGGAAGACGAGGAGGCAGAAUAGAAGCAGAAGUAACAGGCGUACAUAAGACCCAGAGCGAGAAGAAGAUGAAGAAGAAGAAGGAAGGAAGGAAACAA